rnacentral:rRNA from 1 species
AUUGAACGCUGGCGGAAUGCUUUACACAUGCAAGUCGAACGGUAGAGGGGGCAACCCCUCGAGAGUGGCGAACGGGUGAGUAAUAUAUCGGAACGUGCCCAGUCGUGGGGGAUAACGUAGCGAAAGUUACGCUAAUACCGCAUACGAUCUAAGGAUGAAAGCGGGGGAUCGCAAGACCUCGCGCGAUUGGAGCGGCCGAUAUCAGAUUAGGUAGUUGGUGGGGUAAAGGCUCACCAAGCCAACGAUCUGUGGCUGGUCUGAGAGGACGACCAGCCACACUGGAACUGAGACACGGUCCAGACGCCUACGGGAGGCAGCAGUGGGGAAUUUUGGACAAUGGACGCAAGUCUGAUCCAGCCAUUCCGCGUGCAGGAUGAAGGCCCUCGGGUUGUAAACUGCUUUUGUACGGAACGAAAAGGUCUCUCUUAAUACGGGGGACUCAUGACGGUACCGUAAGAAUAAGCACCGGCUAACUACGUGCCAGCAGCCGCCGCCG